AAAGGCAUGAGCUGUAGCUCAGUAGUAAAACAUCUGCAUUGCAUGCAGAAGGUCCUAGGUUCAAUCCUUGGUGUUUUUG